rnacentral:rRNA from 1 species
UACAGAGGUCCCAAGCGUUGUUCGGAAUCACUGGGCGUAAAGGGCGCGUAGGCGGCUCAUGAAGGCUGUGGUGAAAGUCCGGGGCUCAACCUCGGAUCGGCCGUGGCGACUCGUGGGCUGGAGCACUGUAGAGGCGGGUGGAAUUCCGGGUGUAGCGGUGGAAUGCGUAGAGAUCCGGAAGAACACCAGUGGCGAAGGCGGCCCGCUGGGCAGUGGCUGACGCUGAGGCGCGACAGCGUGGGGAGCAAACAGG